CUACAAAUGAAUUGACGGGGAGCACCACAACAGGUGGAGCCUGCGGUUUAAUCGGACUCAACGCCGGGAAACUCACCAGAUAAGACAGCUGAAUGAUAGUCGGGCUGAAGACUCUACUUGACUAGCUGAGAGGAGGUGCAUGGCCGUCGUCAGUUCGUACUGUGAAGCAUCCUGUUAAGUCAGGCAACGAGCGAGACCCACGCCCACAGUUGCCAGCGUACUCUCUGGAGUGACGGGUACACUGUGGGACCGCCGCUGCUAAAGCGGAGGAAGGAAUGGGCAACGGUAGGUCAGUAUGCCCCGAAUAUCCCGGGCUACACGCGAGCUACAAUGGUUGGUACAAUGGGUAUCUACCCCGAAAGGGGACGGGAAUCUCCUAAAACCAAUCUUAGUUCGGAUUGAGGGCUGCAACUCGCCCUCAUGAAGCUGGAAUCCGUAGUAAUCGCGUUUCAACAGAACGCGGUGAAUACGUCCCUGCUCCUU
rnacentral:rRNA from 1 species